rnacentral:rRNA from 1 species
UUCCGGUUGAUCCUGCCGGACCCGACUGCUAUCAGAGUGGGACUAAGCCAUGCGAGUCGACGUAGCAAUGCGUGGCGAACGGCUCAGUAACACGUAGUCAACAUGCCCAGGGGACGUGGAUAACCUCGGGAAACUGAGAAUAAACCACGAUAGGUCACGAUUUCUGGAAUGGAUCAUGGCCUAAAUCUACAUAGCCCCUGGAUUGGACUGCGGCCGAUCAGGCUGUUGGUGAGGUAAUGGCCCACCAAACCUAUAACCGGUACGGGCUCUGAGAGGAGAAGCCCGGAGAUGGGCACUGAGACAAGGGCCCAGGCCCUAUGGGGCGCAGCAGGCGCGAAACCUCUGCAAUAGGCGAAAGCCUGACAGGGUUACUCUGAGUGAUUUCCGCUAAGGGGAUCUUUUGGCACCUCUAAAAAUGGUGCAGAAUAAGGGGUGGGCAAGUCUGGUGUCAGCCGCCGCGGUAAUACCAGCACCCCGAGUGGUCGGGACGAUUAUUGGGCCUAAAGCAUCCGUAGCCGGUUCUGCAAGUCUUCCGUUAAAUCCAGCCGCUCAACGGAUGGGCCGCGGAGGAUACUACAGGACUAGGAGGCGGGAGAGGCAAGCGGUACUCAGUGGGUAGGGGUAAAAUCCUUUGAUCCAUUGAAGACCACCAGUGGCGAAGGCGGCUUGCCAGAACGCGCUCGACGGUGAGGGAUGAAAGCUGGGGGAGCAAACCGGAUUAGAUACCCGGGUAGUCCCAG